rnacentral:rRNA from 1 species
CCUACGGGAGGCAGCAGUGAGGACUAUUGGUCAAUGGACGAGAGUCUGAACCAGCCAAGUAGCGUGAAGGAUGACUGCCCUAUGGGUUGUAAACUUCUUUUAUAAAGGAAUAAAACGAGGCACGUGUGCCUUUUUGCAUGUACUUUAUGAAUAAGGAUCGGCUAACUCCGUGCCAGCAGCCGCGGUAAUACGGAGGAUCCGAGCGUUAUCCGGAUUUAUUGGGGUUAAAGGGAGCGUAGAUGGGUUGUUAAGUCAGUUGUGAAAGUUUGCGGCUCAACCUUAAAAUUGCAAUGGAUACUGGCAGUCUUGAGUACAGUUGAGGUAGGCGGAAUGCGGGGUGUAGCGGUGAAAUGCUUAGAUAUCACGAAGAACCCCGAUUGCGAAGGCAGCUUACCAAACUGUGACUGACAUUGAUGCUCGAAAGCGUGGGUAUCAAACAGGAUUAGAUACCCGAGUAGUC